rnacentral:rRNA from 1 species
AAGGUACUCAAGAGCGCACAAUGGAUGCCUUGACGUAUAUUACCGACGAAGGACGUGGAAGACUGCGAUAAGUCUCGGGGAGCUGUCAACAAGCUUUGAUCCGGGAAUCUCCGAAUGGGGAAACCCAAUUAGAUUCAUAUCUAAUUACCCUUUUCUGAAUACAUAGGAAAUGAGGCGGGAACCAACUGAACUGAAACAUCUAAGUAGGUUGAGGAAGUGAAAAUAAAUAAUGAUUCCGGGAGUAGUGGCGAGCGAAACUGGAUCAGUCCAAACCUUUUACAUUUUUGCCUGUAAAUUACGGGUAAAUAAGUUUUCGGACGAAUAUGUAUAAGGGGUUGUGAGAUUACACAAGACAAGGUCAGAGGACUAAAUUUAUUUUAGUCAAUCUGACCUAGGAUCGCGAACCGAAAAUAGCGAGUAAGGUAAGAAAUCGACGUUGUUAGCGGAAUAGUUUGAAUGACUAACCACAGAGCGUGAAAGUCGCGUAUGCGAAAACGACGUUGACCUUAUAUGUGUUUUCUCGAGUAGGACGGGGCACGAGAAACCCUGUUUGAAUCCGGCAGGACCACCUGCCAAGACUAAAUAUAAUAUACGAUCGAUAGUGAACCAGUACCGCGAGGGAAAGGUGAAAAGAACCCCGGGAGGGGAGUGAAAUAGAUCCUGAAAUUGUGUGCUUACAAGGAGUCGGAGCCGGUUUAUCCGGUGACGGCGUGCUUUUUGUAGAACGAUCCAGCGAGUUAAUUUUAUACGCAAGGUUAAGUCAAGUGACGGAGCCGCAGUGAAAGCGAGCCUUAAUUAGGGCGAAUAAGUGUAUAGGAUUAGACCCGAAACCGGGUGACCUAACCAUGAACAGGCUGAAGCGUCGGUAAUACGACGUGGAGGGCCGAACCAGAGUGUGCAGCAAAACGCUUGGAUGAUUUGUGGUUAGCGGUGAAAUACCAAUCGAACUCGGAGAUAGCUGGUUCUCCUCGAAAUAGCUUUAGGGCUAGCGUUAUGUGUAUAGCUGAUGGGGGUAGAGCUCUGUAAAGGAAUGAGGUCCGCAAGGAUACUCAUCCUUAACAAACUACGAAUACCGUCAGUGUGACCAUAGCAGUCAGAACGUCGGGGCUAAGCUCGGCGCUCAAAAGGGAAACAGCCCAGACCAUCAUCUAAGGUCCCUAAAUAUAUACUCAGUGGGAAACAAAGUGAAAUUUCUUAAACAGCUAGGAUGUUGGCUUAGAAGCAGCCAUUCAUUUAAAGAGUGCGUAACAGCUCACUAGUCAAGAGAUUUUGCGUGGAAAAUGUAACGGGGCUAAGUAUAUUACCGAAGAUAUGGAUAUGAUACGAUUUAUCGUACAUGUGGUAGAGGAGCGUUCCUAUCAGCAGUGAAGUUCAACUGGAAAGUUGGGUGGAGCGGUAGGAAGUGAGAAUGCUGGAAUGAGUAACCAUAAGAGAGGUGAGAAUCCUCUCGGCCGUAAGAGCAAGGUUUCCUGAGCCAUGGUAAUCAUCUCAGGGUUAGUCGGGCCUAAGCCGAGGCGCAUAGCGUAGGCGAUGGACAUCAGGUUAAUAUUCCUGAACCGGUUAUAAUUUUGUUAACAGUUCACAUUUAAUAAUCAGAAGCGGAUUCAUGGUAUGUAUCCGUCCAACCGUCUGUCCCCUUAAAAGGCAGUGGGAGUGAAACGAUCUCUUCGGAGAUUGAAUUUUUGAAGAGAGGAUGGCGAGAAAAGCUAGUUAACGUGUGAUUAUAGCCGCCCGUACCGCAAACCAACACAGGUGCUCGAGUCGAGUAGACUCAGGCUUACGAGCGAACCUUCGCUAAGGAACUCGGCAAUAUAGCGACCGUAACUUCGGGAUAAGGUCUGCCCCCACAUCAUUCGAUGUGAGCCGUGUUCAACUAACUUAGUGAAAGGUGGUUGAAUAGAGAAUAAUUGAGUGCAGGGCAUUAUGAAUAAUAAUGUCGUGUCAAAAACCUUUUUAAAUCACAUUUUUUUACUGAGAUAGACAAAACUAAUUGAUUCAUCAAUAAGUUCUUGAGCACGCGCACUCUCGCAUCAAACGAUGUGGGGGCCGCAGCAAAAGAGCCCACGGAACUGUUUACCAAAAACACAGGUCUCUGCAAAUUCGAAAGAAUAUGUAUAGGGGCUGACUCCUGCCCAGUGCUGGUAGGUUAAGGAGAGCGCUUUACGGUGCGAACUGAAGCCCCAGUGAACGGCGGCGGUAACUAUAACCGUCCUAAGGUAGCGAAAUUCCUUGUCAGGUAAGUUCUGACCCGCACGAAUGGAGUAAUCAUUGUGGGCACUGUCUCAGCGAGGGACUCGGUGAAAGUGCAUUGACGGUAAAGAUGCCGUCUGUCCGUACAAGGACGAAAAGACCCCAUGGAGCUUUACUACAGCUUUACAUUGAUCCGGGUUACAACAUGUGUAGCAUAGGUGGGAGCCUUUGAAGCAGAUACGCAAGUAUUUGUGGAGGCGCCAAGUGAAAUACCACCCUUGUUGUGAUCUUGAUCUCACCAUUGCCAUUAUCUGGCAAUGGGACCGUGUAUGGUAGGUAGUUUAACUGGGGCGGUUGCCUCCUAAAGAGUAGCGGAGGCGUUCAAAGGUUGGCUAGUUUCGAAUGGAAACCGAAGCGAUAGUGCAUGCGCAUAAGCCAGCUUGACUGUGAGGGGUACCUCCCAAACAGAUACGAAAGUAGGAGCAAGUGACCCGCUAUACAGUACAAUUUAUUGUACAUGAAUGUGGGAUCGAUAGCGCACACGGAUAAAAGUUACCCUGGGGAUAACAGGCUUAUCGCGCCCAAUAGUUCACAUAGACGGCGCGGUUUGGCACCUCGAUGUCGGCCCAUCACAUCCUGGAGGGGGAGCACCUUCCAAGGGUUCGGCUGUUCGCCGAUUAAAGUGGUACGCGAGCUGGGUUCAGAACGUCGUGAGACAGUUCGGUUUAUAUCCGGUACGGACGUUAGGAAAUUUGAGAAGAUCCACCCUUAGUACGAGAGGACCGGGGCGGACGAACCUCUGGUGUAUCGAUUGUGGCCACCUGCUGCAGUGUCGAGUAGCUAUGUUCGGAAUAGAUAAGCGCUGAAAGCAUAUUAAGCACGAAACUAACUUCAAGAUAAGAUUUCCCUAUGAGGACACUGAAAGAAUAUCAGUUUGAUAGGCGCAAGGUGUAAGCAUGGUAACAUGUGUGCCGAAGCGUACUAAUAGUCCCAUCGCCUUUUU